ACAUCAGAUCAGUCUGUUUCUGCAUAUGAUGGUGAGGACUUCACUCUGAGCUGCUCUGUAGACUCUCACAUCAAACCUGAAGACAUGGAGGUUUCAUGGAAGAAAACAGAUGAAGAUAUUCUGCUCUACCAAAACAAUGAGACUUUCUCAGAUUCAUCAGAUGGGCAAUACAGAGACAGAGUUGAGUUCUUCACUGCUGAGAUCCCCAAAGGAAACUUCUCUCUCAGACUGAAGAGUGUCAGAACUGAGGAUAAAGGAGUUUACAUGUGUUUAGUGUUUGCUGGAGGACUUUCAGCCAAUGCAACUGUAGUACUGGAGAGACUGGGUUUCUCUUGGCUACACAUAACUGCGUUGAUUCUCUGUAUUUUUGCAUCUGGAUCUGCACUUCUCUCCUUGCUUGUUUACUCCAGAACAGGAAAUCAAGAAAAAAGGCUGUGUCUUCAAGUUUGUCUUUUCCUUUGCCUGGAUAUAACUAUGCUGUUGGCUUCAAUCAUAUGGUGUGUUAUUGAAGGUUCUUUGUAUGAGACCGUCUCUUGCUGCAUGCUCUAUAUUCUGGGGCCUCUGAGGUUGUUUUGGGUUAAACCAUUAACCACAGAUUUGCCAGAUAAAAUCCUGAAGUAUAUCAUGACUGCACAUGCUGAUCAUGCAGCGUUUAUGGUAGUGAUGUAUUCAGUACUUUCAGCUGAACAUUUUCCAAACAUCAGCACAGUCUUCAGCACAGUCAGCUUUGGUUUGCUUGUCCUGAUGUGUCUCCUCUUCAUUAUACGUGAGUGAUCAUCCAUUAUGGAGCAUUAUCCAUUAUCCUCAUCUUGUAGUAAUGCACUAUUGAAAACGCAACAUUAACCUUUUUUUUCUUUAUAAAAAUAGCAUUUUUUAUAAAGGAAACUUAUAUUUCACAUUUUUUUAAUAUUUCAGAUUAAUUUUACCGCCA
rnacentral:lncRNA from 1 species